UGGUGCCAGCAGCCGCGGUAAUUCCAGCUCCAAUAGCGUAUAUUAAAGUUGUUGCAGUUAAAAAGCUCGUAGUUGAAUUUCGGGAUCAUCAGGUUGGUCGUGCCAUUGGUAUGUACUAGCUUUGGUGGUUCCUACCUCUUGAAGAACCGUAAUGUCAUUAACUUGGUGUUGCGGGGAAUCAGGACUGUUACUUUGAAAAAAUUAGAGUGUUUAAAGCAGGCAAACGCUUGAAUACAUUAGCAUGGAAUAAUGAAAUAGGACGUUUGAUCUUAUUUUGUUGGUUUCUAGGAUCGACGUAAUGAUUAAUAGGGAUAGUUGGGGGCAUUAGUAUUCAAUUGUCAGAGGUGAAAUUCUUGGAUUUAUUGAAGACUAACUACUGCGAAAGCAUUUGCCAAGGAUGUUUUCAUUAAUCAAGAACGAAAGUUAGGGGAUCGAAGACGAUCAGAUACCGUCGUAGUCUUAACCAUAAACUAUGCCGACUAGGGA
rnacentral:rRNA from 1 species